UGGGGAAUUUUGGACAAUGGGCGAAAGCCUGAUCCAGCAAUGCCGCGUGUGUGAAGAAGGCCUUCGGGUUGUAAAGCACUUUUGUCCGGAAAGAAAUCCUUGGCUCUAAUACAGUCGGGGGAUGACGGUACCGGAAGAAUAAGCACCGGCUAACUACGUGCCAGCAGCCGCGGUAAUACGUAGGGUGCAAGCGUUAAUCGGAAUUACUGGGCGUAAAGCGUGCGCAGGCGGUUUGCUAAGACCGAUGUGAAAUCCCCGGGCUCAACCUGGGAACUGCAUUGGUGACUGGCAGGCUAGAGUAUGGCAGAGGGGGGUAGAAUUCCACGUGUAGCAGUGAAAUGCGUAGAGAUGUGGAGGAAUACCGAUGGCGAAGGCAGCCCCCUGGGCCAAUACUGACGCUCAUGCACGAAAGCGUGGGGGAGCAAAACAGGAUUAGAUACCCUGGUAGUCCACGCCCUAAAACGAUGUCAACUAGUUGUUGGGGAUUCAUUUCCUUAGUAACGUAGCUAACGCGUGAAGUUGACCGCCUGGGGGAGUACGGUCGCAAGAUUAAAACUUAAAUGAAUUGACGGGGUCAUAGCUGUUUCCU
rnacentral:rRNA from 1 species